rnacentral:ncRNA from 2 species
GCUAGCUCUUCGACAGAUGGUUCCUGUAUCGCCCUUGGGUGGUUAGGAUGAAAAGGGAACACGGUGCGAGAUGGCAGACCAGCCAGAUCAAUGCCGCGACUGCCCCCGCAACUGUAAGCGGCGAGCAACCUCGGAUUAUGCCACUGAUGCCAGCGUCCACACGGACCAUGCCGCAUUGGGAAGGCCCCGGGGAUGUGACGACCCGCGAGUCAGGAGACCUGCCAUCCGAUGAGAAACUCG